rnacentral:tRNA from 1 species
UCCUGGGUGGCUCAGUCAGUUGAGCAUCUGACUUGGGCUCAGGUCAUGAUCUCACGGUUCGUGGGUUCGAGCCCCAUGUCAGGCU